UACGUAGGCAGCAAGCGUUGUUCGGAGUUACUGGGCGUAAAGGGUGUGUAGGCGGUUAUUUAAGUUUGGUGUGAAAUCUCCCGCUCAACCGGGAGGGUGCGCCGAAUACUGAAUGACUUGGAGUGCGGGAGAGGAAAGUGGAAUUCCUGGUGUAGCGGUGAAAUGCGUAGAUAUCAGGAGGAACACCGGUGGUGUAGACGGCUUUCUGGACCGUAACUGACGCUGAGACACGAAAGUGUGGGUAGCAAACAGG
rnacentral:rRNA from 1 species